rnacentral:lncRNA from 1 species
GGUGGCUGGGGUGGCCCUGGAGCAAAAAGGGAGGUGCCAACACAAUAUGCUGAUUUGAAGGAGGUCUUCAGCGAGAGGGAGGCAGACUGCCCCCCCACAGGCCAUUUGACUGCCAAAUCAACCUGCUUCCAGGGGCUCAGUUACCGGUGGGUAAGCUGUAUGCCAUGUCCGACCGGGAGAUGCAGGAGUUGCGGCAGUUUAUUGACAAGAACCUGAAGAGAGGUUUCAUAAGGGAAUCAAAGGCGGUGGGGGGUCCAGUGUUCUUUGUGGACAAAAAAGAGACUAAUCAGCCCAGAUUAGUCGUGGAUUACAGGGCCCUAAACCUGGUGUCAGAACCCGUGACUUUCCCAAUGCCCAGGAUUGACGAUAUUUUGACACGUGUGAGGCAGGGGAAGAUUUUUACCAAGCUGGACCUCAGGGGAGCAUACAAUCUGAUUAGGAUAAGGGAGGGGGCGAAUGGAAAACGACCAUGUUCACCCCCCUGGGGGCUUUUGAGUACUUAGUCAUGCCAUUUGGAUUACAAUCGGGGUCCGCCUGCUUUCAAGCCUUCAUGCACCAUGUGUUGGGGCCCCUGCUGUACAAGAAUUGCGUAGCCUUUUGGAUGACGUCUUAAUCUAUUCGGACAAUGAAAAGCAACACGUCAGAGACGUCAGGGAGGUGCUACAGAGAUUGAAGAAGCAUCAGUUGUGGGUCAAGCUGGAAAAAUGCCAAUUCCACGCCAGGGAGGUCGAGUUCCUGGGGUACAGGUUGUCAGACAAAGGACUAGCCAUGGAUCCGGGCAAAGUGAAGGCAGUGCUGGAAUGGAAAGCCCCCCAAAACAGAAAGGAUGUGCAGAGGUUCCUAGGCUUCAGCAACUUCUACAGGAAGUUCAUAAAGAACUUCGCUCACUUGACAGCGCCCAUAACGGAUUGUCUUAGUAGCAAAAAGAAGUUCACGUGGACAGAGGAUGCGCAGCAAUCCUUUGAAAAACUGAAGAAGGCGUUCGCCUCGGAAGAGCAGCUCCUGCACGUGGAUCCGGAGAAGCCCAUGAGACUGGAGACGGACGCGUCCGACCGUGCGAUUGGAGCGGUCCUUUUGCAGCCCGGGGCCAAGCAGAACUGGAGGCCGUGUGCCCUUUUCUCUAGGAAGCUGAGCAAGUCGGAGCAAAACUACACGGUGUAUGACCGAGAACUGCUUGCGAUCUAUGCGGCAUUUCGGCAAUGGAGACAUCUAUUGAUAGGGGCGCGGCACAAGAUCCAGGUCCGAACUGACCACAAGAACUUGGAAUACUGGCGGACCGCGCGAGUGCUCAACCAGAGACAGAUCAGAUGGUCCCAGGAGUUCGCCAAGUUUUUCUUCGAGAUCCGAUACGUGCCGGGAGAGGAAAACGUAAGGGCAGAUGCUCUCUCCCGAAAACCGGAGUACAUGGAAGGAGAGGGGCCACCAGAGACCAGGCACAUGUUCCCCGAGGACCGGUGGGUGUGUGGGGGAGCGUUGGUUGGGAAACGAGAACUGGCAGGGCUCACCAGAGACGAUGAGUUUGCUCAGACAAAAAUCAGGGAACUCAGGGACGGAAAGGAAGUCAAUGGAGGGUUUGAGGAAAAGGAAGGGCUACUGUACUAUAAGGGGGCGCUGUAUGUACCAGGGGAGACUUUGAGGGGGAAGGUACUUAGACAACUCCAUGACAACCCAACAGCUGGGCACUUUGGACAGCACAAGACCAUGCUACUUGUCACCAGGCAGUUCUGGUGGCCAAAGGUGAGGGAAGACGUACGAGAACAUGUACGAGGGUGCAACCGAUGCCAGAGGGCAAAGGGGUUAAGGGCUGCCCCCGCGGGGCUACUGGAACCCUUACCUACACCGGAAAGGCCCUGGGAGGUGGUGUCCAUUGAUUUUAUGACAGAUCUGCCCAAGUCAAGGGGAAAGACAGCGGUCAUGGUAGUGGUCGAUCUACUGACUAAAAUGUGCCAUUUUGUAGCUUGCUCACAUGCAGCAACGGCAGAGGAGACAGCCAGGCUGUUUGUGGAUCACAUUUUUAGACUGCAUGGGACUCCAUUAAGGGUAAUCUCGGAUCGUGGGAAACAAUUUACUUCCCGGUUCUGGCAGAGACUCAUGAGUUUGCUACAGAUCGAGGUGAGCUUCUCGACAGUACCUACGCUGCUAUGUCAGCGAGAGACAGAACGAUUGGGUAUAGAAAUUAGGUUUGGCUGAAUUUGCGUACAAUAACGCGGAACACAUGUCCACGGGAAUGAGCCCUUUCAUGGCCAAUUACGGGUGUCACCCCAGGGCCUUCCUGGGGCGGGGGGAGGAAGGAUGGAGUGUACCUGUGGCUGAGCAAUUGGUAAUACAGCAGGUAAUACAGCAGGUUAACCCAGUGGCAUUUAAACUCAAGUUGCCUGACAGCAUGAAGAUACAUCCGGUGUUCCAUAGGUCCCUACUUUCACCUUACAGGGAGGGGCGGGAAUUCCCGGGACGAGAGGGAGGGGUUACCACCCACCCGCGGGUAGAGGAGAGGGAACACUGUAACGAAGCCACGGAAAUACUCGAUUCAAGGUGGCGAGGUCGCCAGGUAGAGUACUUGGUAGCCUGGGAGGGGGAACCUAGCUCUGAAAACACUUGGGUCCCUGCUGAAUCAAUCACUGACGGGUACCUGGUGGAAGAAUUCCAUGGUUUGUUCCCGGAUAAGCCCAAACCAUUAGCUAGAUUCUGGGAGGAAGAAUUUGGACCCACAGACGACGAAGGGGACUUUGUGGGUUUUUCUGCCUCCGAAGAGGAGGGAGGUGAGGUGUCCGAGGGAGAAGGAUCAGACUGGGAGGUUCAACCAGCGGGAAGAAAUCCGAGCGGAUGGGAGGCUGGUUUUGAAUCUUCAGAAGAUGAUGACAGUUCCUUCAGGGGAUUCCCUGCAUCGUUGACCGAGGAGAGAGAGGAGGUUGUACCAGAAAAUCGCGCCAGGGGUGGGGGUGGGGGUCCUGAGGAGGAGGCGGAUGUCAGGGAACUGCCAUCAGUGCCAGAGGGAGAGAGCAAAAUCCAGAGGGAUUCCAGAGAGCAUCCCGGGAUUGGGAGAGGCAGCCCAUCUUCUGGGGAAGAGAAUCAGCGUAGCACCAGUGGAGAAGGGGGGCAGAUGGGGGAAGCGGCGAGGCGGUCCCAUGACUCCUUGCCGGGGACCAGCGGGGAGAGUAGAGGUCCUCCGCUGCCUACGCCCUCCUUGCGCAGAAGGCUUUCGCGCAGCGAGAGUAGGAGGAGACUAGGCGUCAAAGAGCUUCUUUGCUGGAAGAAGUUUAAGAAACACCCACUGACAGAUUCUGCCAGCGAUUGAGACAGCCACGGGUGAGUGGCUUUCUGGACAGAAAAGGUUCACUCAGGCAACCCAGCCAGGUGUUUGCUUACGCACGAGCAACCCCUAGAACCAUUACAAUUAUUGAUUAUGUAUACCCAAUGUAUCAGCCACCUUGGGGGGGGGGGUUCACUGUUUCUGGUUUGGUUGUUGGUAAAAAAAUAAAAAAAUUAAACAUUUUUUAAAAAGGAAGUAUUCUGGCCAUCAUUAUUGCAAGAAGAUCCAACUGAGUGGGAGAGAGCAGGCUUGCUGCAAUUUUGAAGGCUGUGUGCCAUGUGAUGCAUUAUGCGCCAGUAUGGCUUUCCUAUAUGAAAUAUAUUAAAGGGUGAAGACUAUGAUAUAUAGCUGCUCUGCAAACACGCAUAAGGUUUUUCAUUCUGCAGGGCGCUUGCCUUCCACUUGUGGCUCAGCUGACCUGAGGUGAAGCCAAGUUCUGCCUUGAGCCACCAAGAGGCCUUGGUCUCUCUUCCACUCUUCUGAGCUGCUCCCACUCUGAUGGCUUAGCAUGUCGCUCUUUAUCUUUCUCCCCCUCUGGAGUGGUGUUUCUGGGGAUCUCUGUGGAGUUCCUAACUCUCGAAAGAGACUACUAAAAAGAGCAGAGAAAGCUAAAAAGCAUUAAACACCUAUAAAAAGUCUUUAAGUAAACAGGUAUGUCUUCACUUGGGACGCAGGUGGCGCUGUGGGUUAAACCACAGAGCCUAGGACUUGCCGAUCAGAAGGCUGGCUGUUCGAAUCCAUGCGACGGGGUGAGCUCCCGUUGCUCGGUCCCUGCUCCUGCCAACCUAGCAGUUCCAAAGCACGUCAAAGUGCAAGUAGAUAAAUAGGUACCACUCCGGCGGGAAGGUAAACGGCGUUUCCGUGUGCUGCUCUG